rnacentral:tRNA from 1 species
GGAAAAGUCGCCAUUGGUAGGGCAAGAUAUUUGCUAAGUAUUGUGUUUUUACACCUGGAUGUUCGAAUCAUCUCUUUUCCG